CUUUGCAUUGAGUAGCUCUCACAUUUCCCGUCAUUUUUUGUCUAUUACCUCCCCAGGAUUUUGACACAAGAAGCAUCCAAUCAAAAUUUUCUGCAACAGGCUGGAAUCAAUCCUUGAUGUUUAUAUUAAAAUCCAAGGGACAUCUUUUCAAAUCAGGAUCAAAUGCCUCUUACUUGGUCCAUGGCUGAUUUCUCCAACUACUGGUCUUAGAACCAGACAUAAAUAGGCAUACCACUCAAUUGACACACUUUGCCUUUUCAGUGUAAGAAGGGUAGAGGAAAUAACUGUGUAAGGUGAACAUGUGCUUUCUUGAUGACUCACUUUUCAGAUUACUGAUGAAAGCAUCAUACUAAGGGAGUUGUCUGGUGAUUUUAAGUGUAAAAAAAGGGAUAUUAAGAAAGAAAGCUUUUCAUAUUAUUUCUCAUUGUGGCAUAGCUUAUUUGAUGUAUUAUUAUGGUCAAUGUCAAUGUUUAGAGGAUUUAAUAUUAAGUAGGACAUGCAUAAUGAUGGUGGUCCAAAGUGUUAGGAUGAGGUUGAAACUCAAGUCUGGUACAUGUGCUUUGAUUUUAUUUUUUGAGUUAGCGAUGAAGUCUGAGAUUACCAUUACGUAUUUAAUUAUUUGAUAUCUAAGAGUGGUUAAUACUGAGAUUCUUACUCUCUGUUCUUAUUCCUCCUCAAAUUGAUUGUAAUUGUUAGUACUUUGUUUAUAAAUAAAGACACUUAGAAACUGUUUGUUUGGGGGUAUUUGAGUUUACAUGUAAUUGAAAAUACUGCACUUUAAAAAAAAACUAAUAUUUGGUUUGAUGUACUUGCAAAUUGUUGCAAGGUGAUUAUAUUAGUAAGUAAGAGAAGAAUAAAUUAGUAAGAAUUAUAUUCAGAUGUAAUUCCAAAUAACACAAAACCAACUAUCAGCUGUGUUUUGUGUCACUGUGAAAUCCACCAUAAUACUGAAUACAAGGUAGUUGAAAAGCAACAAGCACAUUUCAGCCUUUCUUUUCUUCAUCACUGUCAUUGGUCUCCAACACCGUUCUUCAGCGCCAUUCUUCGUUGAUGAUCUCUCAUCGUAGAUCUGUCGUUGACCCCCUUUCUUCGCCUCUGAAACCGAAAUUAUUGUAUGGCAAAGUUGUAAAUCUGGCUGUGAACAUCGGCCCAGCGCCGUUGAGCUCUUCUCUUGCCACGUUGCCGGAACCGCAGCAGCAACAACAACAACAAAAACAAGGUGAACGUCUCUCUAGAUUGUAUUUAUCUCGAUUCUUUCAUUUAGUGUUUUGGACUAAUCCACCACCAAAAAUAGAUCAUUUUCUAGUGUCCCCAAAAGCAUAGAAAAAAAAGGAGUCGAGAGAGAUCAAAGCGCACCAAAUCUUCUCCACUUAUCACUGCUCUCUUUCUUUUCCUCUAACUUUUGGUUUUUGAAAUCCACCACCUGAGGUGAAGGCCACCACCACCACCACCACCACCACCACCACCAGCAAGCUCUCUUUAUUUGAUUAUAUGAACCAAACAAGCUUGGCUUCUCUUCUGUUGUUCUUGGAGUGUCUUUGGUUUGGCAGUCUCCAAUGGCUGGAGUGGUUUUUUGGAGGUGACUGAUGGCCAUGUUCGCCCCUAUGGAUGAUUCAGUGCUUGGUCCUUUGUUUUGGAAGAU